GUACUCCUACAGCAACUAUUUUUCAACCUUUAACUGUGGCUGGUACCACCACUAGAACAACUGGACAACCUGUCACUGUUCCUACGACUGGACCCAGAAACACAACCACUACAUUUGGGUCUCCCUCAACAGCAUCAAAUGCAGCAUCAACACUGGCCACACUAACUACCAGAACAACUCCAACCACCACUACAACCAGCGCACCAACAACUACUAAAACCACAACUGCAACUACUACAACAACUACAUCAACUACAGCAACUACUAGGACAACCACCACAACUGCGCCUAUUCAACCUGCUCCAGUGGUGGUUUUCAUCAUACAACAACUUUAUGUCCCACAAUUAAGUAACCCUGCGAGUACAGAGUUCCAAACCCUUGCAUUAACUGUUAUUGCAGCGACCUAUUACCCGUUCCCGGAGUGCAGACACGCAGGCUGAGGUGAAGCUGGUGUUUAACCAGACCGCCGCACAACCGGUACCUCAACUUGCUGAAAUUGGGGACACGCUAAAGGCAGCUCUGAACAGUUCCAACAGUACCAUCGGCAACCUCACAGUGGUGUCAGACUCCAUCAAAGUUACAGUACUCACCUCAAAUACAACAGCUACUCCUGUCAUUACUUCCGCCAUCACAUCUACAACCCCUGCAACUACAACCACUAAAACUACAACCACUACAGCUGUUCCACUCAGUAUGGUGCCUGUGGUAUUCAGGUCCUUAGGGGAGACCUUCACCUCUGACCUAUCAAACUCAUCAACUCAGGCCUUUCAAAACCGAGCAUUACUCAUUAAAACUCAG
ensembl:lncRNA